AAAUAUCCCAAAUAUGACCAAAAAAAAUAAAACAAAUAUCCAACCAAAAUACAAUUAAACAAAUAUUCAAAAUGGCUAUUCCUUAAAUCCUCAAUCUCCCAUAUAAGCAUCAAAAUUAUUUAGUCUUUUUCCUUCUUGAUAAAUAUUUUUUGCUUGUUGCUUGACAUCUGAUGCUCUUCUUGCGUAAAGUCAUUCGCUGCAGUGGUAGAGUUUUUGCGCUUUAAUGGAGUCAGUGUGUUCGGUGAUGUAAUAUCUGCUUCUUCAUUAUCGCACGUUACAGAAUUAGACUCCUAUAAUGACAAACAUAUAAAAAUUUAUGUUAAAAAAUUAAAUCAUAUCAAAUUAAUCUACUUUUAAUAUAUAUAUAUAUGCUAUUAAAAAAUAUAUAGAUCGACUUGAAUUGUAGCAUCAUAUUUAAAUUUACAUUUGCCAAUUACCUCAAUUAAAAUUGACUUCUUCAAAAAUUCAUCAAUCAGAGUUUUAUCGCAGCUCAGUUUGUUUACCGUGUACACAGGCUUAGGAUGAUUAAUAUUAUUGUCUUUAAUCCUUAUCUUGAAUAGCAUUAAUUUUCCCAGAAACUCAUCAAGCUUUUCAGGUACCUGACUCAUGUCACCAGUCUGAGUAAAAAUAUUUACUAUUAGUAUAUAUAAAAAUAAGAAACAGAAUAUUUAUAUUUAUGAUAAAUAAUACGCACUUA
rnacentral:lncRNA from 1 species